rnacentral:miRNA from 1 species
UCCUCUACCGUCAAAAUCUUC